rnacentral:ncRNA from 1 species
UUUAUAUAACUAUGGUGCUAUAGGCUGAGAUUAAACCCAGAGAACUUGAUUCGGUUAAUACCGACGAAGGGGUUUAAAAUACGCUUUUU